AGUGAACGCUGGCGGUAGGCCUAACACAUGCAAGUCGAACGGCAGCACAGUAAGAGCUUGCUCUUACGGGUGGCGAGUGGCGGACGGGUGAGGAAUACAUCGGAAUCUACUUUUUCGUGGGGGAUAACGUAGGGAAACUUACGCUAAUACCGCAUACGACCUACGGGUGAAAGCAGGGGAUCUUCGGACCUUGCGCGAUUGAAUGAGCCGAUGUCGGAUUAGCUAGUUGGCGGGGUGAAGGCCCACCAAAGCGACGAUCCGUAGCUGGUCUGAGAGGAUGAUCAGCCACACUGGAACUGAGACACGGUCCAGACUCCUACGGGAGGCAGCAGUGGGGAAUAUUGGACAAUGGGCGCAAGCCUGAUCCAGCCAUACCGCGUGGGUGAAGAAGGCCUUCGGGUUGUAAAGCCCUUUUGUUGGGAAAGAAAAGCAGCAGGUUAAUACCCCGCUGUUCUGACGGUACCCAAAGAAUAAGCACCGGCUAACUUCGUG
rnacentral:rRNA from 1 species